GUUUCAAGUCACUUCCAUCAAUGUUUGUGGAAGGCCAGGUGUGUGCCAGGCAUGGGACAACAGGAUCCUGGAGGAGAAUAAGAUACUGUCCUUGCCUUAAGCUGCCUGUGCUCCAAGUAGAGACCAGACGUGUAAUGUGAACCCCAUACAGAAGAUGGUGGGUGCUGGAGGAGAUGGUGGCCUCCAUCCUGGAGGUCAAAAGAAGGAGGGACCACCCCAAGGAAGGCUUCAUGGAGUUGGUGGCGUUUGAGGAGUGAAAAAAAGUCAGCAGACCGAAAAAAAAGUGGAAAAACCCAAAAAAUAACCAACCCGAAAAACUCCAUGGAAUGUGAGCUCUGAAGUCAAGUGGCCUGGGUUCAAAUCCUGCCUUUGCGAUUUUGAAGCCCUGGGACUGUGCAUAAAUUGUUUAAUUUCUCAGAGAUUCAGGAUAGUCAUUUGUGAAGUGUGGAUAAUAAAAGAAUCUGUAUUC